CAACCGGGAAACUGCCUUUGAUACUGCAAGCCUUGAAUUUGGAAGAGGAUGAUGGAAUAUCUGGUGUAGCAGUGAAAUGCGUAGAUAUCAGAUAGCACACCAAUGGCGAAGGCAGUCAUCUGGUCCAUAACUGACGCUAAAGCACGAAAGCGUGGGUAGCAAACAGGAUUAGAUACCCUGGUAGUCCACGCCCUAAACGAUGAAUACUAGACGUUGGGUCCGCAAGGAUUCAGUGUCUGAGCUAACGCAUUAAGUAUUCCACCUGGGAAGUACGAUCGCAAGGUUGAAACUCAAAGGAAUUGACGGGGGCCCGCACAAGCAGUGGAGCAUGUGGUUUAAUUCGAUGCAACGCGAAGAACCUUACCUAGGCUUGAACUGUAACUGCUACCCGUGGAAACAUGGGAUUCUCUUCGGAGACGGUUAUAGAGGUGCUGCAUGGCUGUCGUCAGCUCGUGUCGUGAGAUGUUGGGUUAAGUCCCGCAACGAGCGCAACCCUUGCCCUUAGUUGCCAUCAGGUUAAGCUGGGCACCCUAAGGGAACUGUCGGCGAAAAGCCGGAGGAAGGUGGGGAUGACGUCAAGUCCUCAUGGCCCUUACGUCCCGGGCUACACACGUGCUACAAUGGCUGGUACAAAGGGUCGCCAACCCGCGAGGGGGAGCUAAUCCCAAAAAACCAGUCCCAGUUCGGAUUGCAGUCUGCAACUCGACUGCAUGAAGGCGGAAUCGCUAGUAAUCGCAGAUCAGCAUGCUGCGGUGAAUACGUUCCCGGGCCUUGCACACACCGCCCGU
rnacentral:rRNA from 1 species